UGUCCAGAAUCUCCACAGAACAUCUAUGCAGGUGCUUGUAUUGAAGCCUAUAGACUUCAGUCGAACUCUACAGAAAGCGCGUGUCUUUCCCUAGGACAACAUGGUAGUGUUGGCGUUGUGUGCCCGAGCUCAAAGGAGACUGAUCUUAAUCCCUUACAACAGCGUUCCCUGUGAUUUCCGUGUGCUCUUGAUGCAGCCUCGUCUUCCUUGUGCUCGGAGGCUUCACUGACUUCAGUCAAUCAAUAUUGACAUAUUAUAGAACCUCAGACCUGGAACAUUAUCUUCUGAUCUGGUAAUUUUCAUUUGAUGAGGAAAGGCAUUAAGCCCUGGCAGUCUAUGCAUUUUCCUGAACAGGGGUUGAUUUUAUGUGCACACAAAGUGGAUGCUGAGCCCUUUAACACUCACUUCUCAAUGGUCUCCAAUUUUGUUUGUAAUGUGCUCAGCUGAAAACACUCAACCACCAGACUGACACAAUUGAGGCUGGCCACGUGACUAAUUAUGGUCAAUGUCAUUUAAGCAGAGAUUGCUGUUCUAAAAGGACUCAACUAGAAUGGGCCUUUUCAGUCCUCUAACCCUCAUCUUUCUCCUUUUCUUCCUUCAAAGGGGCAGGUAAAGACUGUACGUGUCAUAGUCAUCCAUCUUGUAACCAUGGCUGAAAACCACCAGCUAAGAAUGGCAGGACAGGAGGUUAGGAGAGGCCUAGACCUUGAGGAAAUUCUUGUGGACUGCACCCGCUCAGGUUUGCAUAAGCCCUUUAUCUAGGUUUGAUUGACGGAAAUUAAAUUGUUAUUAAGUGCUGCCAAACACAGUUCUAUUUAUUGCAUAUGGUUAGUGGAAAAAUCAAGAUCUUAAGCCCAGAUCUAUUCUACCCAAUGACCUUUUAAGUAUUAGUAUAUACUGACUAUGUGCUUAAAAGUAUAAACUUUUGGGGUGCCUUGGCGGCUCAGUCGUUUAGCUGCCCGGCUGCAGC